AAUACCCGCUGAACUUAAGCAUAUCAGUAAAGCGGAGGAAAAGAA
rnacentral:rRNA from 1 species